rnacentral:rRNA from 1 species
GAUGAACGCUGGCGGCGUGCCUAAUACAUGCAAGUCGAGCGAACGGACGAGAAGCUUGCUUCUCUGAUGUUAGCGGCGGACGGGUGAGUAACACGUGGAUAACCUACCUAUAAGACUGGGAUAACUUCGGGAAACCGGAGCUAAUACCGGAUAAUAUUUUGAACCGCAUGGUUCAAAAGUGAAAGACGGUCUUGCUGUCACUUAUAGAUGGAUCCGCGCUGCAUUAGCUAGUUGGUAAGGUAACGGCUUACCAAGGCAACGAUGCAUAUCCGACCUGAGAGGGUGAGCGACCACACUGGAACUGAGACACGGCACAGACUGCUAAGGGAGGCAGCAGUAGGGAAUCUUCCGCAAUGGGCGAAAGAAUGACGGAGCAAAGCCGCGAGAGAGAAGAAGGUCUUCGGAUCGUAAAACUCUGUUAUUAGGGAAGAACAUAUGUGUAAGUAAAUGUGCACAUAUUGACGGUACCUAAUCAGAAAGCCACGGAUAACUACGUG